rnacentral:misc_RNA from 1 species
AGUUCUCUCACCAUUAGGAGCCCGGCCUCCAUAAAAAACUAGGGUCUUCUUCACUCCAACAUUCCUAGAGUUGCAAGAGAUGUUUCGGUCCUUACCUGUAGCUUUCCAAUACCCUUGUCUAGUUGCCCUAUUUGACCUUGCUCCAUUAGGAUACUUCCUAUCCCUUGGACUGAAGAAGAACCAUUGCCUAUCUCCUGUCUUCAAUAUGGAUUGUCCAGGUAAUUCCUCGNNNNNNNNNNNNNUCCCAUUGGAAGACACCACCCCCACGGAUGCCAUCGAGCCGUAGCCGUCUCCUACAGAUUUUCCUCUUCAAGUAAUAAAGAACAAGCUCCUCAUCCGUUGGGUGGAAUCUAAACCCUGGUGGCCACACCUUAUCAUCCCCUUCAUCAGGACCCAAACAGGAAGCCGCCGUCGCCGUCACCGUCAUCGAUUAUAACUCACUAGU